rnacentral:rRNA from 1 species
UACGUAGGGUGCGAGCGUUAAUCGGAAUUACUGGGCGUAAAGGGCGCGUAGGCGGCCAACUAAGUCAGACGUGAAAUCCCUCGGCUCAACCGGGGAACUGCGUCUGAUACUGGAUGGCUUGAAUUCGGGAGAGGGAUGCGGAAUUCCAGGUGUAGCGGUGAAAUGCGUAGAUAUCUGGAGGAACACCGGUGGCGAAGGCGGCAUCCUGGACCGAGAUUGACGCUGAUGCGCGAAAGCCAGGGGAGCAAACGGG